rnacentral:rRNA from 1 species
CCCUUAGAUGUUCUGGGCCGCACGCGUGCUACACUGAGUGGAUCAGCGGGUCAGGUUGCGCGAAAGUGUUUCCUAAUCUUUAAAUCCACUCGUGAUGGGGAUUGACGGUUGCAAUUUUCCGUCAUGAACGAGGAAUACCUUGUAAGCGCGGGUCAUCAUCCCGCGCUGAAUACGUCCCUGCCCUUUGUACACACCGCCCGUCGCUCCUACCGAUUGAGUGGUCCGGUGAGGCUUUGGGAUCUGGGCGGAAAGAGCGUUUCGCUGUUUCUGCCCGGAAAACUCAGUCGAACCUUAUCAUUUAGAGGAAGGAGAAGUCGUAACA